GCAUGUAACAAAACAAAGUGGAAUGAGUGUGGUGUGCUCAGUUGCUUUCACGACUUUGCACAAGUUGAGCGGGUUAUAAAUUUUAAAAUUCGUCUCGCGUGAUACUCGACUUUGAAACAAACAACCAACUGGUUAUAAAAUACAAGAAAAAGCAAAAAUAAUCUUGCAAAAAAUUCGCAGAUCCGAUUCAAAAGGAGAAAAUUCUGAAAAAAUCAUAUUUUGGAUUUGUGCUGCGGUUUUUAAAGAAAAUCGAACGAAUCAUGGAUGCUUGGUUAGUAGAUGUAAAAAGGGUACGAAUUCCAAGACCAAAAUUCGGUACCGGAAGUCGAUGUGGAACCUCCUACCCAAUUGAACCACCGAAAGAUUACGGUUUUGAAGAAUUACGCGCCGAAGAAUACAAAUUGCGUGCAUCUAGUUUGGCGAAAGAAACUGAAGAUUUAAGAAGAGCUAUUCAACAAAAACUUUAAUAUAAAACUAAGCGUGUUAUUUUUCGUAUUGUUAAUCUGAUUUUAUUACAAUUUUAUUUCCAUUUAUUUCCCUGUAGUUUAAAAUGUUUAGAUUAAGAGAUAAAUUUAAAAUUAAAUUAAAAAAAAAUGUUAUUUACUCGUUUUGUUAACGUAAUAUUUUAAGUUACCUAACUUCAAGAGCGAGUAUUAUUAAAAUAAUUUUUUUAGUUACUAUUUUAUCCAUAUUUUACGCGUACCACAAAGAUACAUCACAUUAUUUUUUCCAAUAAUAACUUAGAUAAGUUAAAAAAAAUCGUCUUCGUUUAAUUUUAAGUUGUAGUUUAUCUUUUACAAUAUAAACUGUGAUAUAUUUUAACCCAGUAUAAAUACUAAAAACAUUUUAUUAUUUUUUGCUUCAAUUCUAUUAGGUGCUAACAAGAUUAUAAGUUGAUAAAAAUGUCUUGGACUUAGAAUAGUUUUUAUUACUUGUAUUGAUUUAUAUUUUUCGUAAUGGAAUAAACGCCGAUUAUUCUUAAA